GCGCGUGUUCCGGGGUCGGUGAAAGUCCGAGCCGGCGGUGACAGUCCGCGACCCGUACGCCGCUCCGUCAGGAGCAGCGUCCGGUUGAUGUGGUGAAACUCCACGACCGACGGUGAGAGUCCGGAUGGGAGGACCACGCCG
rnacentral:ncRNA from 2 species